rnacentral:lncRNA from 10 species
AAAUGAUGUCACAUACCGAGAAAAGUGCCCAGCUAUUCCAACAGACCACAGCUGAAAAAUUCUUGUUUUUAUUUGUUUCUCUCAGAAUUGAGAUCAUUCAAAAAAGGGAAGAAAUGUUACAAGGAUUCCCCGAAACGAAUUCUGCCCUACUGCUUUCAAGUAAGGAAAAGAACAAAGAAGAAAGAAAGUCACAGGAAGCAGAAAGAGUAUAGAUGUGAUUUUUUUUUUCUGUUCCUUUUGGGAAUGGGAGUUCUUUCUCUUCAGAAAAUGGUGGUGCUACUUGCAGAUGAGUGAGACCCUGAUGUAGUCCAUGCACUGGCAGGGGACACUGGGGAUUGGGUUUUGCAUUCGGGGUUGUAAAUAGUCUCUUAGAGGCAGGUCCAACCUUCUUUGGCCAAUAUUCCCAGAAUAACCCAGGCCUGCUUUUGGCAUUUAGGUUUUCAGACAAAAGAUAUCUUUGUUUGUGCUGCUAUAACAAAAUACCACAGAAUGGGUAAUUUAUAAACAAUAGAAAUUUAUUUCUCAUGGUUCUGGAGGCUGGGAAGUCCAAAAUCAAGUUCAGCAUGUUGGGUUUCUGGUGAGGGCUAUGCUCUGCAUCGAAGAUGGCAUCCCAUCGCUGCAUCCUCUGGAAGCAACAAACGCUGUGUCUUCACACAGCAGAAGGGACAGAAGGGCAAGAG